AAAGCAGUUAGCAGCAAAACAUGCCUGGUGGAAAUACCACAGUAUGCACAGUCAAACCAGGAGUAGUAGGAGAAGUGGCCGGAGAAGCACACAACCGUGAGUGAAAAUGAGUCCCCCACUGAAGCCAUCAAUCAACGUAAUGGAUAUGAGGCAGGACAUCUCUAGAGAUGCGGCAGUGAAACUCUGCCCCUCUUAUUCCAUCACCACCGCUCUGAACGGCAGCCUAGGGAGACCAGGAGCAGGACAAUACCAGCCUUUCACUCAAGCAAGGUGAAUACUAACAGACCUUUUGGGCUUUUGAUAAAACGAAGAGUUGACUGCUCUUAGCUGCUCGGUUUUUGAAUAGAGAAGAAUUGUGUGGGGAACAAGGUAUCGUCCUUCAGCUGAUGAGGUUUCAUGCACCCUGAAUACCCAAAAGUGGCUGUCAAUGACUCUGGCAUGACUAAUUACAAAAGCAAUCCCAUCAACAUCCCAAAAUAGGCUCACUAGAGCCCUGACACUUCAUUUUACAAAGUCAUGGAAAUGCUGAGGUAUUGAUUCCAUUUGUCUUCCUCAAGACAAAAGCAGACAGGCCUAUGUUAGUUCCAGCAGGAUUCUCUAAAUCAGUCACUUUGAGCACAUUUUUAUUAUUAAUGUACUGUUUUCAGGUUGAAAAAAGGAACAAGCAUCUAAUGAAUACUUUACAUAAUGAUUUUUCACAAAACUUUUUAGCAUGUAUGAGCAGAGAUUCGACAAGAUGUUUGACAAGUAGAGCUAAACUUUUUUUUUUAUUUUUUUUUAUUUUUUUUUUUACUGCCAGCAAUUCUUUUGGAAUAGAACCAAUAAAAUGUCCACAGUACCUGAAAGAUGUUACCAAAAUAUGUGUAAAUCACACCAGUCUCUGACAGCAAUGGGCUCUGUAAAACAGCAAAAAAAAAAAAAAAAAAAUUGUAUAGCCUUCUCUCAUUUCAGACAUGUCAUUAUGACUGACAUACUGGUCAUAUUAUACAGACGAGAGCAUGUUGGCAUAGUUCAUUUUUGUAUGGCUUCCAGUACAAAAGAAAAUAAGAAAAUGCAAAUUAAAAAAAUUUCCAGAAAAUUAAAAAGCAGCCAAAAUGGAUGACACUGAUUAUCAAUAAACAUAAUACAAGUUUAUAUGAUACAUGUCA
ensembl:lncRNA